GGUCCAAGCAUUGCUGACUCUCCUGUUUUGCACACUGCAACACUCAUGUCAGCAAAGCUGCAGUAACAACGGAUGAGUGUUCACAUGGGACCACUCAAAGCUCCAAGGACAAAGAAUUAUCUGUAUUGGAAAUAGAGGAGGAGGAAGAAACUAAAUGAGAAGGCAGAACCAGUUAAGGUUUGCAAGAUGAAAGCAAACAGCCCAAGGUUAUCCUGAAGAGGAUCUAGGCAUGUGAAGCUUUUGUUAAUUCCACCUAGAGGGAAAAGCCUGCAGAACUUCACUGAAGAUUUAUCCUUUGAUACAGAAAACUCAGUUGGAAUGGAUGUGCCACUAUCCUCCAGCCAAAGUGCCUGACCAAAAGUUAGCACACACGAAGAGCAUUGUGCAGAUACCCCUCAUCACUGAGAGGCUUGGGACACAAAUCACCUCUCUGGAAAGCUGAUUAUAGUGUCUGGCCACCCUCUCAGCUCCCUAAUGUUAAGUCUGAAUGCUCCCAACACAGCUUUAUCAGAUUAUAAAGCACUGUUUGCACCCAGUACUGGAUGAGUAAUUAGGAAUCCUUAAUAAACACCAGUUUCUUCCCAUUUACUGUUAAUUGUGCAUGCCUUUCACU